rnacentral:rRNA from 1 species
ACAGUCGAGCGGACAGAAGGGAGCUUGCUCCCGGAUGUUAGCGGCGGACGGGUGAGUAACACGUGGGUAACCUGCCUGUAAGACUGGGAUAACUCCGGGAAACCGGAGCUAAUACCGGAUAGUUCCUUGAACCGCAUGGUUCAAGGAUGAAAGACGGUUUCGGCUGUCACUUACAGAUGGACCCGCGGCGCAUUAGCUAGUUGGUGGGGUAAUGGCUCACCAAGGCGACGAUGCGUAGCCAACCUGAGAGGGUGAUCGGCCACACUGGGACUGAGACACGGCCCAGACUCCUACGGGAGGCAGCAGUAGGGAAUCUUCCGCAAUGGACGAAAGUCUGACGGAGCAACGCCGCGUGAGUGAUGAAGGUUUUCGGAUCGUAAAGCUCUGUUGUUAGGGAAGAACAAGUGCGAGAGUAACUGCUCGCACCUUGACGGUACCUAACCAGAAAGCCACGGCUAAUUACGUGCCAGCAGCCGCGGUAAUACGUAGGUGGCAAGCGUUGUCCGGAAUUAUUGGGCGG